UUUAUCAUAUAUAAAAAUUAGACCAACUGAUCUCGGAAGCUAAGCAGGAUCGGGCCUGGUUAGUACUUGGAUGGGAGACUGCCUGGGAAUACAGGGUGCCGUAGGC
rnacentral:rRNA from 1 species